rnacentral:rRNA from 1 species
UUGUUGCCAGCGAUUCGGUCGGGAACUCAAAGGAGACUGCCAGUGAUAAACUGGAGGAAGGUGGGGAUGACGUCAAGUCAUCAUGGCCCUUACGACCAGGGCUACACACGUGCUACAAUGGCGCAUACAAAGAGAAGCGACCUCGCGAGAGCAAGCGGACCUCAUAAAGUGCGUCGUAGUCCGGAUUGGAGUCUGCAACUCGACUCCAUGAAGUCGGAAUCGCUAGUAAUCGUGGAUCAGAAUGCCACGGUGAAUACGUUCCCGGGCCUUGUACACACCGCCCGUCACACCAUGGGAGUGGGUUGCAAAAGAAGUAGGUAGCUUAACCUUCGGGAGGGCGCUUACCACUUUGUGAUUCAUGACUGGGGUGAAGUCGUAACAAGGUAACCGUAGGGGAACCUGCGGUUGGAUCACCUCCUUACCUUAAAGAAGC